GGUGUUUCAAGCCUACAACAUAUGGAACGACAGUCGAGUGGGAUCCAUAUAGCUGGAGCAGAGGGAGGGUUUUGUCUACAGGGGGUAGAUGAGUAGGUCCUCCUCAUAGCUGGAGCAGAGGGAGGGUUUUGUCUACAGGGGGUAGAUGAUCAGGUCCUCCUCAUAGCUGGAGCAGAGGGAGGGUUUUGUCAACAGGGGGUAGAUGAUCAGGUCCUCCUCAUAGCUGGAGCAGAGGGAGGGUUUUGUCUACAGGGGGUAGAUGAUCAGGUCCUCCUCAUAGCUGGAGCAGAGGGAGGGUUUUGUCUACAGGGGGUAGAUGAUCAGGUCCUCCUCAUAGCUGGAGCAGAGGGAGGGUUUUGUCUACAGGGGGUAGAUGAUCAGGUCCUCCUCAUAGCUGGAGCAGAGGGAGGGUUUUGUCUACAGGGGGUAGAUGAGUAGGUUCUCCUCAUAGCUGGAGCAGAGGGAGGGUUUUGUCAACAGGGGGUAGAUGAGUAGGUCCUCCUCAUAGCUGGAGCAGAGGGAGGGUUUUGUCUACAGGGGGUAGAUGAUCAGGUCCUCCUCAUAGCUGGAGCAGAGGGAGGGUUUUGUCUACAGGGGGUAGAUGAGUAGGUCCUCCUCAUAGCUGGAGCAGAGGGAGGGUUUUGUCUACAGGGGGUAGAUGAUCAGGUCCUCCUCAUAGCUGGAGCAGAGGGAGGGUUUUUGUCAACAGGGGGUAGAUGAGUAGGUUCUCCUCAUAGCUGGAGCAGAGGGAGGGUUUUGUCUACAGGGGGUAGAUGAGUAGGUUCUCCUCAUAGCUGGAGCAGAGGGAGGGUUUUGUCUACAGGGGGUAGAUGAUCAGGUUCUCCUCAUAGCUGGAGCAGAGGGAGGGUUUUGUCUACAGGGGGUAGAUGAGUAGGUUCUCCUCAUAGCUGGAGCAGAGGGAGGGUUUUGUCUACAGGGGGUAGAUGAUCAGGUCCUCCUCAUAGCUGGAGCAGAGGGAGGGUUUUGUCAACAGGGGGUAGAUGAGUAGGUCCUCCAGUGGCAGGCAGGUAGCACUGUUCACUCGCCUCGCAGUCCCAGCUGUCUGACUGCCUUGUACAAGAUGAAGUUCAUUACUACGUUCCCACUAACUCAAUGAUGUCAGCCAGCACAAAUCUUCAGAGGAAUCGUCAGACUGAGCAUUGAAUUCAUCCCUGCCAGCUUGCAGUCCUCCUCACGGGUCAGGAGACCAUAAAAACAAGCAAAAAAUAUGGUGGGCGGCAGCGUAGCCUAGUGGUUAGAGCGUUGGACUAGUAACCAGAAGGUUGCAAGUUCAAACCCCCGAGC